rnacentral:lncRNA from 1 species
GUUAUUCUGUAUUGGCCCAGUUUACACAUUAUAUUGCAUAGGCAGUUUUCAUCAUAUUAAGUCCAAUAACAGUGUAGUUAAUUAAUAAAAUGAAAUAAAGGAGAACACCAAGAUUCCAUAGGUCCGCUAAUAUGGUAUCAUGGACAAUCCCACGAAUAACUUCUGGGACACAAAAUAAUUUAUUUCCUAGAAAAUCACCACACAGCAACGGUUGUCCACAUGAGGUCAUGCAUUUCAUAGAAAUUCCAAAAUCUGCUAAUUUAAUUGUCCUGUUUCUUAAUAGCAAUACAUUA